UGGGGAAUUUUGGACAAUGGGCGAAAGCCUGAUCCAGCCAUGCCGCGUGAGUGAAGAAGGCCUUCGGGUUGUAAAGCUCUUUUAGUCGGAAAGAAAGAGUUGCAAUGAAUAAUUGUGAUUUAUGACGGUACCGACAGAAAAAGCACCGGCUAACUACGUGCCAGCAGCCGCGGUAAUACGUAGGGUGCGAGCGUUAAUCGGAAUUACUGGGCGUAAAGGGUGCGCAGGCGGUCUUGCAAGUCAGAUGUGAAAGCCCCGGGCUUAACCUGGGAAUUGCGUUUGAAACUACAAGGCUAGAGUGCAGCAGAGGGGAGUGGAAUUCCAUGUGUAGCAGUGAAAUGCGUAGAGAUGUGGAAGAACACCGAUGGCGAAGGCAGCUCCCUGGGUUGCCACUGACGCUCAUGCACGAAAGCGUGGGGAGCAAACA
rnacentral:rRNA from 1 species